UACGGGGGGGGCAAGCGUUGUUCGGAAUUACUGGGCGUAAAGGGUUUGUAGGUGGCUUGUUAAGUCAGACGUGAAAUCCCUCAGCCUAACUGGGGAACUGCGUCUGAUACUGGCGAGCUUGAGUGCAGGAGAGGAACGCGGAAUUCCAGGUGUAGCGGUGAAAUGCGCAGAUAUCAGGAAGAACACCCGUGGCGAAAGCGGCUCUCUGGAACGGUACUGACGCUGAGACGCGAAAGCGUGGGGAGCGAACAGG
rnacentral:rRNA from 1 species